AGGGUGCGGUGACGUCUAGAGGGCCGGCCGCCCGCGAGCACUUGGGGGCGGGCCGGGCGGCGAAGUGGGGCCCGUCCUCCCAGGCUGGGGUAAGGACAGCUGGGGUUUUCGUUGGGUGCUUCCCCCUCUUCCUGAUUUCGCACAUGCAAAUCUCCGCCCCCGCGCCGGCGGGCGGCGCAGCGCGGGCGUCCCGGAGCGCCCUCGAGGGGAAGUGCGGAAGCUGCAGCGGCCUCUGCGCGCCUGUAAUUAAGGAUAAACUUAAUUAGAAAAAAAGGAAGAUUACAAGACAAGGUGAUGGAUGGACUAAAAACAACAACAAAUGGGGGAAGACCUCCAGCUCUGGGUCUGGGUGCUGUGUCUCCGUGCCUCAGGGUGGUGGAGAGGACAGGGCUGUCUGGUGGAGAGAAGGCUGGAGGACCCGGUGUGCUAAUGGCUGACAGCAAGAGUGGCCUUCGAGGACAUGCCUCUGAGGGCCUGUGAAGCAGAAAUCAGCGGCUGCUUGUCCAGAUCUAAAGGUGUUUCCUGCGGGCCAGUUUGGCCUUGCUUGCAGGUACCUCUGCGGACCACAACGCUGAACCGAGACACCACCUCCGGACACGCACAUGGGGCCGGCUCUUCAGCUACACAUCAAACACCAAGUCUGCUGCCCAUGCUGGUUGCCGAGUGAGGUUUGGGCGUUGUAAAAAUGCAAAUUUGGUCCCAGGAUCAUUCAUCUGAGUUCCACUCAGAUUGGAAAGUUACAAGUACAAACUCACCUUUUUCUUCUUCUGAAGAAUCUCUGCGGGAAGGUAGUGAUGAAGUUGUUUUUUUUUAACAUGAGUUGCUUCAAUUUUCAUUCCCUCCUUUAGCAUGUUUAUAUUGUUUGCCUGUCUGUACACUGUAACAGAGUCAGUAUGUUAAAAUGGGGAACUUCCUUCUGAACCUAGGGCUCUGUUUUCUUUUUCUGAAAUACAUACCUUUAAUAUCUCCACAUCACUACACAAACACACAUUCCUCUUACAGAACAAAUACUUCCAAAACAUUUUCACAAUGUCACAAUCCUAUUCAAGUACUGACUAGUUUUCUCAUGUCCAACUUCUAAGACUUCCCCAUAAUCAAAUCUAACAAAAUAAAUGUAUGGAAAAAAGGCUUUUUCCAAAUCUUGUUUUCUGCUAUUUUCCCCAAAGGCAAUGUCUUCUCAUAAUUAUUUGCCCAAGUCUGAGCUAAUCCUAAUACCAAAUAUCCAAGAUGCAAUUCAAGUUCUCCUCCUCCAUGAAGCUGCUUUUACUACACCAAUCACAGAAUGUUAGACAUGAGAAACCAUCUAAAAGUACAUCCUUAUUAUACAGGUGGGUAAAUGAGGCUCAACAGCCUUGAAUGCCUUGCCAAAAUGGGAAUACACAUAGCCCUAGGUCCCUAGUCUAGUGCUUUUCACUCCUUAUAAGAAAAUCAGUUUUAUUAACUACCAUAUAAAUUACUUAAUGUAUGUUAAUUGUGAAUACCAAAUUAGAUUAUAAGCUUACUCA